AGAAACUGCGUCACUUCACUUUGUCUGUUGAAGGUGAAGCUCCUUUUCUACACAGACCUGCUGAGGACAGAAGACAGCUGCACACUGAUGAAGUCCAUGGCUGAAAGUUCAGCUGUUCUGUGUUAAAGAGGAGCUAAGCAAGAGACACGCUGUUCUGAAAACAUGAUUCCUCGUGUGCUUCGAGUCCUCGCUGUAGAAACAACCAAAGGUCAAAUUACAGUCUAAAGUGUUUCCACUCCAGAUGAAGGUGUGGACUCUGCUAUGAGUCAGUAUGAGGACAGAGA